UGCAUCUGCCGGGAAUCGAACCCUGGCCAACCGCGUGGCAGGCGGGAAUUAUACCACUGAACCACC
rnacentral:tRNA from 1 species